UUAAAUGCAACAGAUAGAAAUUAGAUGACAACAAUAAUAAUAAUAGUGAUAUCAAUGCUAGUGCUUGAUCUCUCAUGUCUUUCGUGCCUUCCAUUUCUUCCCAACCCUUCUUGUCUUCGUUGCCUUCUAUGUCUGUCUUUAUUUCCUUGCUUUGAAUUUGUUGAUGGAUUAUUUAUGUAGUAUUAUUCAUUUGCAUCAGCCCAUCGAAAAAAUCCACAAUCAUUACCAACUUUAUAUUUUCAAUAGCCCCAAAAUAUUCUUUCAAAAUUAAUUGGUGUUCUUGACAUCUUAAGUUCAACAUAAAGCCCACGAUAACAAACACAAACUGUCAUGGUGUUGCGAAAAAUUACAAAAAUGAACUUUCCAAUAUUACGAAUAAAGCAGGAAAAAAAAUUAAGGAACAAGAACUUAGAGAGAGAAAAUAGG
rnacentral:lncRNA from 1 species